rnacentral:piRNA from 1 species
UAAAUGAUUCUGUUGGAACCAUCUGC